rnacentral:rRNA from 1 species
ACGAACGCUGGCGGCGUGCCUAAUACAUGCAAGUUGAGCGCUGAAGGUUGGUACUUGUACCAACUGGAUGAGCAGCGAACGGGUGAGUAACGCGUGGGGAAUCUGCCUUUGAGCGGGGGACAACAUUUGGAAACGAAUGCUAAUACCGCAUAAAAACUUUAAACACAAGUUUUAAGUUUGAAAGAUGCAAUUGCAUCACUCAAAGAUGAUCCCGCGUUGUAUUAGCUAGUUGGUGAGGUAAAGGCUCACCAAGGCGAUGAUACAUAGCCGACCUGAGAGGGUGAUCGGCCACAUUGGGACUGAGACACGGCCCAAACUCCUACGGGAGGCAGCAGUAGGGAAUCUUCGGCAAUGGACGAAAGUCUGACCGAGCAACGCCGCGGGAGUGAAGAAGGUUUUCGGAUCGUAAAACUCUGUUGGUAGAGAAGAACGUUGGUGAGAGUGGAAAGCUCAUCAAGUGACGGUAACUACCCAGAAAGGGACGGCUAACUACGUG